GCUAGGACGAACGCUGGCGGCGUGCCUAAUACAUGCAAGUCGAACGGUCUUUCUAUGGAAGCUUGCUUCCACUGAGAAGAUAGUGGCGAACGGGUGAGUAACACGUGGGUAACCUGCCCAUAAGAGGGGGAUAACAUCCGGAAACGGGUGCUAAUACCGCAUAGUUUUCUUGAUCGCAUGAUCGGGAAAGGAAAGACGGCCUUUGUGCUGUCGCUUAUGGAUGGACCCGCGGCGUAUUAGUUAGUUGGUGAGGUAACGGCUCACCAAGACGAUGAUACGUAGCCGACCUGAGGGGGUGAUCGGCCACACUUGGGACUGAGACACGGCCCAAACUCCUACGGGAGGCAGCAGUAGGGAAUCUUCCGCAAUGGACGAAAGUCUGACGGAGCAACGCCGCGUGAGUGAAGAAAAGGGUUUUCGGAUCGUAAAACUCUGUUGUCAGAGAAGAACAAGUUGGAGAGUAACUGCUCCAGCCUUGACGGUAUCUGACCAGAAAGCCACGGCUAACUACGUGCCAGCCGCUGC
rnacentral:rRNA from 1 species